rnacentral:rRNA from 1 species
UACGUAGGGUGCAAGCGUUAAUCGGAAUUACUGGGCGUAAAGCGUGCGCAGGCGGUUGUGCAAGACAGAUGUGAAAUCCCCGGGCUCAACCUGGGAAUUGCAUUUGUGACUGCACGGCUAGAGUGUGUCAGAGGGGGGUAGAAUUCCACGUGUAGCAGUGAAAUGCGUAGAGAUGUGGAGGAACACCGAUGGCGAAGGCAGCCCCCUGGGUCAAGAUUGACGCUCGAUGCACGAAAGCGUGGGGAGCAAACAGG